rnacentral:rRNA from 1 species
AUUGAACGCUGGCGGAAUGCUUUACACAUGCAAGUCGAGCGGCAGCGCGGCCUUCGGGCUGGCGGCGAGCGGCGGACGGGUGAGUAAUGCAUCGGAACAUGCCCAGUUGUGGGGGAUAACACUUCGAAAGAAGUGCUAAUACCGCAUACGUCCUGAGGGGGAACGCGGGGGAUCGCAAGACCUCGCGCGCUUGCAGUGGCCGAUGUCGGAUUAGCUAGUUGGUGGGGUAAAGGCCUACCAAGGCGACGAUCCGUAGCUGGUCUGAGAGGAUGAUCAGCCACACUGGAACUGAGACACGGCCCAGACUCCUACGGGAGGCAGCAGUGGGGAAUAUUGGACAAUGGGGGCAAGCCUGAUCCAGCCAUACCGCGUGAGUGAAGAAGGCCUUCGGGUUGUAAAGCUCUUUCGGCAGGAACGAAAAGGUGCGCUCUAACAUAGUGCGCUAAUGACGGUACCUGAAGAAGAAGCACCGGCUAACUUCGUG